AUGUUGCAAAUUAAACCCUACAUUUUUAGAAUUUUGUCCGCGCUCCUUUCUUCAUCCCAUACAGUGGCAGAGAAGGUGGAAGGGGGGCAGGUUCGGCUGGGCGGCUGGGCUCCCAUCGGCGAGCUCGAUGGCGUGGAAGGUGCCCGCCUCGUCGGCCGGCGUCCGUCUCGGAAUGCCCCCGCCUCCGGCCCUCUCGGCCUCUCCAGGUGGUCGUCAGCGCGAGCAAACGCAUCUCUCCCGCAGCGUCUGUCAGCGCCAGCGACUAGGAACGGGGAAUGGCCCGAGGCGUCGCAACCGAGGCUGAUAAGGCGGCCGGCGUGCUCGCUUGGGGCGCUGGACCAAGCCCGGCAGCACCGGAGGCGCCGUCGUGGGGCUGAUGCCGUUGCUCGCCAUCAGCACCAGCUGCAACAUGGCCGCGUUCCUCGGGCACCUCAGCGGCAGCAGAGCCCUCCUCCGACUGUAAGAUGGCCGCGCUGCUGA
rnacentral:rRNA from 1 species